rnacentral:tRNA from 1 species
AGAAAGUUAGUCUAACCAAGACAGUUAGUUUCGGCCUAACAAAUUACAGACCAUACCUGUAACUUUCUC